rnacentral:rRNA from 1 species
UACGUAGGGUGCGAGCGUUGUCCGGAAUUAUUGGGCGUAAAGAGCUUGUAGGCGGUUUGUCGCGUCUGCUGUGAAAAUCCGGGACUCAACCCCGGACCUGCAGUGGGUACGGGCAGACUAGAGUGUGGUAGGGGGAGACUGGAAUUCCUGGUGUAGCGGUGAAAUGCGCAGAUAUCAGGAGGAACACCGAUGGCGAAGGCAGGUCUCUGGGCCACUACUGACGCUGAGAAGCGAAAGCAUGGGGGAGCGAACAGG